rnacentral:lncRNA from 10 species
GGGAUUAAUGUCUUUCAAAGGAAAUGAAGAAACACAGGAGCUUUCUCUCUCUCCAUGCUCAGGUACUGAGGAAAGAUCAUAUGAGCACACAGCAAAAAGGUAACUAUCUAUCAGGUAGGAAGAAUGCCCUCACCAAGAACCAUAUCGGCCAGUACCUUGAUCUUAGACUUCCCAGCCUCCAGAACUGUGAGAAAAUAAAUGUCUGUUGUUGAAGCCACCACAUCCAUGGUAUUUUGUUGUAGCAGCCCAAACUGACUAAGACAAAGUAUCUUCUUUUCAAAGAUUGGACUUUAUAUUUUUUACUUGUGUUAGUAUUUCAUAAUCCCAAAGUUCUACAACUUCCAUAUAACAAAAAUUUUGAAUUCAGUACAAUGACCUUGUAAGUAUUUCAUUUAUAACAAGCCUCUUUAAAAUAUAUUUAGUAACAUUGCUUUAAUUAGAAAGAAUUUAAAAUAUACGAUGAUGUCUUAGGUAUGUUUAUUUUUAGUGAGAAUUGAUUUGGUUGCUUUGUUUUGUUUUGAGAUAGGGUCUCGCUCUGUCACCCAGGCUGCUGGAGUGCAGCGACGGAAUGCAGUGGCACGAUUUCAGCUCACUGCAACCUCAACCUCCUGGGCUCAGGUGAUUCUCCCAUCUCAGCCUCCAAAGUAGCUGGGACUACAAGCAGACACCACCACACCAACUAAUUUUUGUAUCUUUUAUAGAGACAAGGUCUCAGUUUACUGCCAGGCUGGUCUCGAACUCCAGGCUUAAGCCAGCCACCCAAAGUGCUAUGAUUAUAGGUGUGAACCACUGUGCCUGGCUGUUGUUGUUUUUAGUCAUGAAAUAUUCAACUUUGUCCAGCCAUCCUGGGCUACUCUAACAACUGUAAUUGCUUUAUAACUACUUAGCUAUGGAUUUCUGGAAUCUGAAAUUGAGGCCAUAAGCAGAAAUGACUAAAAUAUAGAAUUCUUUCUCCUAUCUUUAUUUGUUCAUCUAGAUAUUGGAACUGUAUCAUUAAAUUUAAAGGGGGGAACUAGUAUUGACAACAAAUUAAAUUAUUUCAACCAAAACCACUUAAUAGGUAUGUUGACUGUUAGUCAUUACCAAAUCAGCUAAGAAAAAAUAGUUUUAUUUCCACUUUGUUGAUUCAACAAAUAAUUUUCAUAUUUGUAAUUCAUAUUGACAGUCACAGAUUCCUAGGAUCUCUAUUAACAGAUACCUCGUUUGUGCCUGUGAUUAUUUCUUCAUCUGUGCCUGUCUUUGCCCUUUCCUAGCUGAAUGUCCUUGAAAAAAUCAUUUGGCCUUUUUGUGUCUGUUUCCUCAUCAUGAGGUGGAAAAAUACAUAGAGUCAAAUGUGUGAGGUUGUUUCCAGAAAUUAAUUUAAGUAAGCACUUUGAAUACUACCAGACCAUAGUAAGUUCUAUGAUGAUGACGACAGAUCCAGUUGAGAGCUCAUUUGCUGGCAGCAUCCUAAAUAACUCUGCUUCAUGGAAGAAAGGCUCUGUAAAUACCAAAGAUUAAGAUCCUUGGUUUAAGACUCAAGGAAUCUGUUUACAAGGUAAGUAAGCAAGAGAACAAAAACAAAACAUAGUUUAUACAAGGCCCAUUCAAUCACAAUCUUAUCUUUUCAAUUUCAAGUCUAUCCCCUUUAAGUUUCCAUGACAUAAAUAUCAGCUGACAUACACACAAGGUGACUCACCUUCUUCCCAUUAAACUAGGUUGAGAUUAAAAACAAACAAGCAAACAGCUGGAAUGUGGCACGUGGGUCAGACCCUUCUGAGUCCAGUUGGGUAACUCAGCAGAGAUCAGAAUGAUCUUCAAAAACCAACAAGCCAUUGGCACGUAUCUUCAGGCAUGCUUGAAGUCUAUGGGGCCAAAUGGUAGAGUAUCCUGGCAGAGCCAAAAAGUCUUCUUUUAUGACACAGAAAAGAAAACUUCUUUCAAAGUAGUUAUGCAACCCAGGAGAACACAAUGCAUCCACUGUGUGUGUCCUGGGGCUGUCUAUGAACACAUGAUUUCAUAUUUUUGUCCUCUGUAAACUUCAGCAUUGAUGAUGAACAUUAUUUCAAGGAAAUAUCCCACUACUUUAUCUCUGUAAAGACAUCCAUAGAGAAUGGGCCUUUUAGAAAAUCUCACACCACUUCCUAGUUGGAGCAAUUAAACAAUAGAGAAGAUGGGUAUUCUGGAGCAGAAUUUAAUGAAACAGAACUCCACCAUCUAUGGCAAGUUUGACUGCUUGAGUCUCCAGAGGAUAAUAGUUGGAGGCCACUGAGGCCCAAAUUCAUCAGUCCGGCCAUUGAAGGACACAAGUGAACAAAGGAGGACGGCAAAGACAGAACUGUGAUAUUCAAACACUCAAUAGCUCACAGUGUCGGGGUUCAUUAUGACACUUACUAAGCACAUGCCAUAUUUCUGACACUGUGCUAAGAGUUUCAUGAACAUUAACUAAAUUAACCCCAUAAAAACGCCAUUAGAAAGAUGCAGUUUUGUACCCCCUUACACAGAUGAAGAAAAUAAAGUAUAGAGACUUUAAGAAAUUUGCCAGAAGUCUUAUAACUGGUUAAGUAAAGGGCACUGAACAAGUGAAGCUGUGCUGAAAACAACAGUGGCCAAGGCAGAGAUAUUCUUAUACCUCAACCCGUUGUGCAGAUGGAAGUCUGGCCAAAAAACCAUAAAGCAUCAAGUCUGACUAUUGGUUUGCCAUGGCUCUUUGAAACAGUUACUCUUGUCCUCAUUGUAGAGAUGGCGAUACUAAGGCAGAAUAUGGCUAGCCUGGACUUCUUUUUGUGGAGACUGGAUUCCAAGAUUGAAAGUAGAAGCUACAUGUUUUCUCCAAGCAGGGCUUUCAGACUUCACUUCUGCAACAUUUUAUUGAUGAAAGCAAGUCACAAGACCAGACUGAUUCAAGGGGUGGAGAAAUAGACCCUACUUCUUGAUGGAGGGAGGAGUAGAGUUACAUUGCAAAGGGAUCUGGACAAAAAAAGGAGUGAUUUAUUAGGAAUCAUGUUUAACAAUUUACCACAAUCCCCAGCGCAACUGCCUGUUAGCUGGAUCCAGAAAUGUCUACGACUACUGCAAUGCCACUUGGCCUUAGGGGUGAUGUGACCCAGUGUAAAGAGAUGGUGGUCUUAACCAAUCACAGUUAAGAUAGUUUAGUUUUGGAAGGUAUAAAAAAUAUGUAACAACAUGAAUGCACUUUUAGGGUCAGACAAGAGACUUGGAAAGAGCCUGCAAAAUGGAGGAGCCCUGAGGCCUAAGUCUCAUGAGUGUCAAUGCUUACCUGUAUCUAGACACUGGCAUCCCCCUUUUGAUAAGGCCAAGAUUGAUUGUUUUCCUUUUCUACCUACCCUAUAUCUAAUCCAUGUACAAACACUGUUGACACACAAAAGAACCCUAAAUUCAACAAUCUGUGAAGAAUUUUUGCACUAACAUGUUAGUUCAAAAACUCAACAUUGCUUGCUAAGACUAUUGCAAUAAACUCCUCUAUGAUCCCCUAAUUUGAUUCUUGCUCCUCUUAUUUUUUACACAGUCAUCAGAGUAAAUCUUUUCAAAGGUAAAUUGGAUUUUAUGACUUUU